CUCAGAUUGAACGCUGGCGGCAGGCUUAACACAUGCAAGUCGAGCGGAAACGAGAAUAGCUUGCUAUUCGGCGUCGAGCGGCGGACGGGUGAGUAAUGCCUAGGAAAUUGCCUUGAUGUGGGGGAUAACCAUUGGAAACGAUGGCUAAUACCGCAUAAUGCCUACGGGCCAAAGAGGGGGAUCUUCGGACCUCUCGCGUCAAGAUAUGCCUAGGUGGGAUUAGCUAGUUGGUGAGGUAAUGGCUCACCAAGGCGACGAUCCCUAGCUGGUCUGAGAGGAUGAUCAGCCACACUGGAACUGAGACACGGUCCAGACUCCUACGGGAGGCAGCAGUGGGGAACUAUUGCACAAUGGGCGAAAGCCUGAUGCAGCCAUGCCGCGUGUAUGAAGAAGGCCUUCGGGUUGUAAAGUACGUUUCAGUUGUGAGGAGGGGUUAACGGUUAACUAGCGUUAUCUCUUGACGUUAGCACAGAAGAAUG
rnacentral:rRNA from 1 species